CUGCACAAAGAGCCGUGUUAUUGUAUUUAAAAGAACCAUCUGUAGCAGAAACAAUGGCAUCAAAUUAUCUUUGAAUACCCACUGAAAAAACAUAAAGCUUUUUUUUUUAUUCUUCUUCUGUACGGUGGGGGGAUAGAGCAGUGUUAGGAUAACUGACUUUUUUGUUGUUCUCUGGAUGCAUUCUUCUCGCUCCCCCUCUCUCUCCCCCUCACCCUCUCUCUCCUCUCUCUCCCUCUCCCUCUCUCUCUCUUUUAAAAAAUCAGCCAUUUGGGGUUUUAAGCCAUAAACGAUUUUUCUUGUUGCAGGGGAUUGCGGUGGCAAAGCUAGGCUAGGUCUUGGAGGCUGGUGUAAGGCGAUGCGGGUGAAGGCAGGAGGCUGAUGGAGAAACUGGGGUGAAGAAAAGCCGAAAUGGAUUCACGGUGCCUUGGAUGGAGGACGAGAGGGGAACUGCAAGCUCCUUCAACUCGGUCUGUCCGGUGAGAAGUGAUCAAGCUUGGGCUGACAAGAGGCUCAGGGAGCCCUCACGUUCUUUCGCUUUUUUACCUGCCAAUCAAACUGCUACAAGACAACACCCUGAUCUGGCAUGGACAUCGCGGGUCCAAGCCUGUAGCCCCAAAUCGGAUAAUCUCUGCAGCUGAUAACAAGCAAAAGCGAAGCCAGGCAACAGCCAUAUUAAAGAAGAAUACAAUCAACUCUGAGGAUGCCAAUCCCAGAGUUUUCUCCAGGAAAGUCAAGAGUUUUCAUCGGUGACCUCAGUUUUUAACAUGGUUCUUCAAGCAAGUGCCAGGAGGGAAGUUUUGAAUGUUCUUCUUUCUUAAAGCCCGACACUGCAUUCCUUUUCCCAGUGCUUAAGAGUUUUUCCGCUUUCCCGGAGCUGUUGAAAAGGACCGCUUCACAACAAGGCAGCGACUAAACCAUUCGUACUUGGGGUUGUUGAAACAGCGUUUUAUCAGCAGUCUUUGUACAAAUUAAAUUUUAAGUCGGGAUUGUUAAUGUGUCAGUGAGGUGAACAGAAGACCCUCUGCUUCCCAUUGGUUAAAUACUCAGUUGCAAAGUGGUACCUGAACGCAGACAUCAAAUUCACUGUUAGGAACGAUAUUUGCAUAAAUCUUAUUUUUCCCACUGGCUAAGGUUAUUGUUUAAAAAGCAUGUGUUAAAUGUUUUGUCGUGUACUUCUCAAAGCAUUUCUCAAUUUCACAGGCAGACUUUGUUAUGUCGUUCGUAUGAUGUUAUAAAAUAAACAAAUAUGAGCAAUGCCAUCUUGCAAAGGAGGAAGCCGAAUGCUUUGCACGCUGGGAUUCAGCGGAUAAACGGAAGAACUGAGAUUGUGUAGGUUAUAUCAAGUGAUUAACCUAUUGCAAUAGGCUUUUAAAAAAAUUUGUGUUCUACAUUCCUGAAAAUAAAAAUUUUUCAUUGGAGGACAUAAUAUAUAUUUCAUGGGUCAAAAAGAUGAGAGGCAUGAUUGAAAAAAUUCUAUUCAAAAAGUGACUUUUGUUAACUAUUUUAUCCUUGGUGUGUACUUCUUUUAAAUUUUUUAAUUUUUGGUGUGUGUUCAUUUUAAGGAUCUUUAAGGGUUGAAAAUUUUGAUUUUGAAAAGUCAAAUAUAGACAGCCCUAUAUUCCUGGACUAUAGAUUAUAUGUUCAAAUUAAAACAUAAUAAAUAAGUCUUCUUUUUCCACUCUGGAGAAGCCUGUGUUCUCUCUUAACAUGUAUCUCUCCUCUCUUUCUCAUUCUCCUUAUAUUACUCUAAAUUUUAUUCUAGAAAAUAAAAACUAUUUUGCAAAAAAAAAAAAACCCUAGCUUGCUUCACUAAAAGUAUUUAUCUAUGUAUGUAUAAAAUAAACCUUUAGAAGCAACUUCUA